CCUACGGGAGGCUGCAGUGGGGAAUAUUGGGCAAUGGGCGCAAGCCUGACCCAGCAACGCCGCGUGAAGGAAGAAGGCCUUCGGGUUGUAAACUUCUUUUAAGAGGGAAGAGCAGAAGACGGUACCUCUUGAAUAAGCCACGGCUAACUCCGUGCCAGCAGCCCCGGUAAUACGUAGGUGGCAGGCGUUGUCCGGAUUUCCUGGGUGUAAAGGGCGUAGAGCCGGGCUGACAAGUGAGGUGUGAAAUUCCGGGGCUCAACCCCGGACCUGCAUUUGAAACUGGUGGUCUUGAGUGGGGGAGAGGCAGGCGGAAUUCGUGGUGUAGCGGUGAAAUGCGUAGAUAUUAGGAGGAACACCAGUGGCGAAGGCGGCCUGCUGGACCACAACUGACGGUGAGGCGCGAAAGCGUGGGGAGCGAACAGGAUUAGAUACCCGAGUAGUC
rnacentral:rRNA from 1 species